UGAUGUUGUUUUUGUAUUUCUCAGCCAUGGCUCAUUUACCUUUUAGGUACAUUAUUGAAUUGGCUUUCCAUCCCCACAAAAAAAUGAAGUUUCGUAAUAUGGUCCUUGAAGUAUCAGUACUGAGUGGGAGGACAGAACAUUCUAGACUUUGUACUCCAGGACCCAGAAUCUAAUUCUGUUUCUCCCACUAACUGUGUCCCUUGUCCUAUCUGCACACCUGUUUCCUUCUCUGUCCAGAGAUGUCAGUUUGAUUUGAUGAUUAUUAAGGUCUCUUGCAUGAAAAUUUGGUGACUUCUUGAAAAUGUUGUUUGCUGGAGUCACCCACACAGUUGGGAAUGAGGAACCAAUAGCAGCCACCCUCAGAGAUCUGGAUGGAGAUUAUUGAGCUUUCUUAUAUAGGCCACUGCGUUGUCAUUCACACACUUCUCUGAGGUUUUUAGAACAGGAAAAUAGGUGGGGUUAACUCUGCUCGUGAGAAACAUCUUGGGCGAGCUAUGAUUUCAGUUAAAAGAUGUGUUUUUGUGACUGGAGCGUCACUAAAGAACAGCUCCUGGCAGAAGCAGAGCCAUGAUUCUUUCUACCUAUAAUACCAUCCAGUCGAUUUUCUGUUGCUGUUGCUGCUGUUCAUUGCAGAAGCGACAAGUAAGAACACAAAUAAGCCUGAGCAAAGAUGAAGAAUUUUCAGAAAAAUACCCUCAGCGUCGCAGGCUGUGGUCCAGGGAAUUGCCAAGCAAGAAGCAAUCCAAUAGAGACCACGUGCAACCGUCAAAACGCAAGCCGCUGCCUCCCCUCCCACCCUCUGAGGUUACCGAAGAGAAGAUCCAAGUAAAGGCACUGUAUGAUUUUCUGCCCAGAGAGCCGUGUGACUUAGCAUUAAAGAGAUCAGAGGAAUACCUGAUACUGGAGAAGUAUAACCCUCACUGGUGGAAGGCAAGAGACCGUUUGGGGAAUGAAGGCUUAAUCCCAAGCAACUAUGUGACCGAAAACAAACUAACCAAUUUAGAAAUAUAUGAGUGGUACCAUAGAAACAUUACCAGAAAUCAGGCAGAACGUAUUUUGAGACAAGAGUCUAAAGAAGGUGCAUUUAUCGUCAGAGAUUCAAGACAUUUGGGAUCCUACACAAUUUCUGUGUUUAUAAAAGCUAGAAGAAAUAUGGAGGCUACCAUCAAACAUUACCAGAUUAAAAAGAAUGACUCAGGACAGUGGUACGUGGCUGAAAGACACCUCUUUCAAUCAAUCCCUGACUUGAUCUGGUAUCACCAGCACAAUGCGGCAGGUCUCAUGACCCGUCUCCGCUACCCCGUUGGACUGAUGGGCAGCUGUUUGCCUGCCACAGCUGGUUUUAGCUAUGAAAAGUGGGAGAUAGAUCCUGCUGAGUUGGCUUUUGUGAAGGAGAUUGGAAGCGGUCAGUUUGGGGUGGUCCAUUUAGGUGAAUGGCGAGCCCACAUCCGGGUGGCCAUCAAGGCCAUCAGCGAAGGCUCCAUGUCCGAAGAGGAUUUCAUCGAAGAGGCUAAAGUGAUGAUGAAGUUGUCUCAUUCCAGGCUGGUGCAGCUCUAUGGAGUGUGCAUACAGCAGAAGCCGCUGUACAUCGUCACCGAGUUUAUGGAGAACGGCUGCUUGCUGAGCUAUCUCCGAGACAGAAGGGGAUCACUUUCCAGGGAGGGGCUGCUGAGCAUGUGCCAGGAUGUCUGUGAAGGGAUGGAGUAUCUGGAGAGGAACUGCUUCAUUCAUAGGGACUUAGCAGCAAGGAAUUGUCUGGUCAAUGCUGCAAGUAUAGUAAAAAUAUCAGACUUCGGAAUGACGAGGUAUGUUUUGGAUGAUGAAUAUAUCAGUUCUUCUGGAGCCAAGUUCCCAAUCAAGUGGUCCCCUCCUGAAGUUUUCCAUUUCAACAAGUACAGCAGCAAAUCUGAUGUCUGGUCAUUUGGAGUUUUGAUGUGGGAAGUUUUCACAGAAGGAAAAAUGCCGUUUGAAAAUAAGUCAAAUCUGCAAGUUGUGGAAGCCAUUUCUCAAGGCUUCCGGCUGUACCGUCCUCAGCUGGCGCCCAUGUCCAUCUACGAAGUCAUGUACAGCUGCUGGCAUGAGAAACCGAAAGGCCGCCCGACAUUUGCUGAACUCCUGCAGGUUCUCACAGAGAUUGCGGAAACCUGGUGACCUGAAUGGAAUGCCAACCAGAGGAUCAUCUCGCAAAAUGAUCACAGAAGGAAAUCCUGUGUAGGGUCUCUGAUGAUGAACACCUUCCUCUAGGGUUGCUGACUUUUGGAAACAGUGCAAAGAUCCCAGGCUUUUCCAACUUUGAAAUUUAAGAAUAUUCUGGCAGUAAUUUUUCUACACGGGUGUUUGAGAGGGACUUCCAAAUUCUCAUUUUUCAGUAAUAUUCUUCAUGUCUCAUAUGUGAAGAAGGGGAAAAUGCUUCAUAACUGUCUUCAUAGUGGCUGCUCUUCAUGAGAACAGCCCUGAGAGCCCUUGAGGUUAUAUGCAAUCCUGAUCCAUUACAGGGCUGAGGAAAUUUCUUUUCUGAAGAGGAGUGCCAUUCCUUACUUCAGUGGCUCGCUGAAAUAAGGAAAUUCUGCUAUCUCAUGGAAAAAAGGAGCCUUCUCUGCAGGAUUUAAUGCAUCUGAGCUGUACAGAUCUUUAUGGAAAAUGCACCUUUACAAACCACAUGAAUGUGAACAUUCUUAAACUGUCUUUUAUAAUCUUCCUUAUGUUAUUUAACAAAUUGUUUUUGCACAUAUCUGAUUAUUUUGGAGACAGUUUCUUGUACUUGAGGUUUUUUUGGUUUUUGGUUUUUGGUUUUUUUUUAGUAGGUGUGGAGCCCAGCAUGGGGCUUGAACUCAGGACCCUGAGAUCAAGACUGAGAUCAAGACCUAAGCAGAAAUCAAGAAUUGGAUGCUAAACUAACUGAGCCACCCAGGCGCCCCCUACCUAACAAACUUAUAAAAGACAAUUCUCUAAAAUUUCAUACUUUGUGUGAAAUUGGACAAUUUAAGCUUUUUUAAAAAAAUUUUUAAAAAAUGUGUAACGUAUUUUGUGUAUUUUGUUUUCCUCAUAGUGUAAAAGAAUGCUUAUUGCACAGGAUAGCAAGAACCUCCCCUAACCUCUGGGCUACGACAUCACUUCACAGCAACCUGGAUAAAUGGGAGAAUCAAGGAGUUUUUACUGGGUGAUGGCUGCACUGGUGGGAAAAUCCCACAUAAAUGGUGUGGGAGGCAGAAGAGAAUGUGUAACGGAAGAGCAUCAGCCAGUGAUACAAAGAGACAAGGAAAGUAUAGACCAGAGUGGAGCCAUGGCCCUGAGCCACACCCGGAGAAGAACUUCUCCAGUUCCAUUGCGGAGAAGACUUGGACGUUAAUCAGAGAACUGCGUCUACGCAGAUACACAUUCACGCAUAGCCACGAUGAAAAGUGGCUGCUAUAGACACGUACCUCACCUUGACACCUUAUAUCAUCUGAAGCGAGAAAACGUCUUCGUCCCCGCAUUUGUACCAGAGUCCUGAUAUUCUCUCUCACUGGGUCAGAGCCACACGCCUCCUUGAACACACCUCCGCAGCUCGAGGCAUGGAAUGCUUCGACUGGCUUAGCCUUGGUCACAUGUUCCCACAGGAGCCAGGGAUGGACUCCAUUUACCGGCCACCACUUGGAAAUAGAAAUUGUGAGCUCUGGAGGGUGGGGCAGGGAGAGUAACAGAUGCUGGAAUGAUAAUCAACGAAUACCCACUGCUCUACUCUUGCUUUCUGGCCAUUUAACACGUGGUCUGCUAUCUUUACUAGGAACCACUUGGAGCUGUUCAGCUAUGAUCCAUGUUUCUUUAAUGUAGAUUAGUUCAAACAUGAUUAGUAAAUUGGGGAUUUGUCUGUAUUAAGUGCCAGUUGGCUGGGUUCGGUCUUCUCCAGCACUUCAACAUUUUGAAAUGAUCUGGAGUAAGUUUUCUCACAAUUAAAGAGAGCUUUAGCCAUACAUAUGAUGAUCUUAAGAAAGAGCUGAAAAGCCCAUGCGGAUGCUUUCCUUCAGGGCAAGUGGUGGCAGAUUUGGUGACUUCCGCUACACUCAGCCUUCUGGGAGGGCUGAAAGUGUAGGUGAAGAAGCUGCUUGGAUUGGAGCAACACGUUGCUUCCUUCCGUCACUCACCGACCUCAUCUCCUGCUCCUCUCCCCUUCUCGAGUGCGGCCCCUUGCACAGCGGCCCCUUGCACAGCCCAGGGCUCAUCUCAGGGCCUUUGCACCUGCUGUUCCUGUUCCUGCUUCUCCUGGAUAGCUCCCUGACUUGCCUCCUUAUGUCCUCUGGGUUCUUGCUCCAAUGCUAUUCUCUCUUUAAGGCUUUUUCUAAUCAUCCUAUUUAAAAUUGUAACCCCAGCAUGGACAUUCCCUGUCUCCCUUUUCUGAAUUAUUCUCUAUUGCUCUUAAUACUAUAUAACAAAUCAUGUAUUUCUACUUAUUUAAUCAGUCUUUUGUCUGUCCCUCUCCCCCUGCAACUGUAACAGGUGUGAAGUCAGGUAUUUUCAUCUGUUUUGUUCACUGCCAGAUAUAGGGUCCGGCACAGAGUUAAGCUAAAUAAAUAUUUGUGGAAUGACCCAAUGAAAAAGAGUAGCUUGAUUAUCCAGAAGCUUCAUCUCCAGAGAUGGAGGUUCGUCUGAUAAGCAGCUCUCCUCUUGGGAUUCUGGGCUAAUCUAUUGCUUUUCUGUAACAGCGCCAUAGCUGGUCUUACGGGUUUACUUGCUUCAAGUUAGCACGCUCCUUGCAUGAUGACUUAAGGCCCUUGAUCUGUAACAGAACUAAUCUACUUUCUUUGAGAUCUAUAGACCACUGGCCUUGGGGAAUAAAGGACCAGAACAUUUUCCAGGCCACAGAGGCCAGCAAGUCUGUUUAAGCCUCCUCGGCUUUCUGGUUAG